rnacentral:rRNA from 1 species
UUAAGCGACUAAGCGUACACGGUGGAUGCCCUGGCAGUCAGAGGCGAUGAAGGACGUGCUAAUCUGCGAAAAGCGUCGGUAAGGUGAUAUGAACCGUUAUAACCGGCGAUGUCCGAAUGGGGAAACCCAGUGCAAUUCGUUGCACUAUCGUUAACUGAAUACAUAGGUUAACGAGGCGAACCGGGGGAACUGAAACAUCUAAGUACCCCGAGGAAAAGAAAUCAACCGAGAUUCCCCCAGUAGCGGCGAGCGAACGGGGAGCAGCCCAGAGUCUGAAUCAGCUUGUGUGUUAGUGGAACGGUCUGGAAAGUCCGACGGUACAGGGUGAUAGUCCCGUACACCAAAAUGCACAGGCUGUGAACUCGAAGAGUAGGGCGGGACACGUGGUAUCCUGUCUGAAUAUGGGGGGACCAUCCUCCAAGGCUAAAUACUCCUGACUGACCGAUAGUGAACCAGUACCGUGAGGGAAAGGCGAAAAGAACCCCGGCGAGGGGAGUGAAAAAGAACCUGAAACCGUGUACGUACAAGCAGUGGGAGCACCUUCGGGUGUGACUGCGUACCUUUUGUAUAAUGGGUCAGCGACUUAUAUUCUGUAGCAAGGUUAACCGUAUAGGGGAGCCGCAGGGAAACCGAGUCUUAACUGGGCGUUAAGUUGCAGGGUAUAGACCCGAAACCCGGUGAUCUAGCCAUGGGCAGGUUGAAGGUUGGGUAACACUAACUGGAGGACCGAACCGACUAAUGUUGAAAAAUUAGCGGAUGACUUGUGGCUGGGGGUGAAAGGCCAAUCAAACCGGGAGAUAGCUGGUUCUCCCCGAAAGCUAUUUAGGUAGCGCCUCGUGAACUCAUCUUCGGGGGUAGAGCACUGUUUCGGCUAGGGGGUCAUCCCGACUUACCAACCCGAUGCAAACUACGAAUACCGAAGAAUGUUAUCACGGGAGACACACGGCGGGUGCUAACGUCCGUCGUGAAGAGGGAAACAACCCAGACCGCCAGCUAAGGUCCCAAAGUCAUGGUUAAGUGGGAAACGAUGUGGGAAGGCACAGACAGCCAGGAUGUUGGCUUAGAAGCAGCCAUCAUUUAAAGAAAGCGUAAUAGCUCACUGGUCGAGUCGGCCUGCGCGGAAGAUGUAACGGGGCUAAACCAUGCACCGAAGCUGCGGCAGCGACACUAUGUGUUGUUGGGUAGGGGAGCGUUCUGUAAGCCUGCGAAGGUGACCUGUGAGGGUUGCUGGAGGUAUCAGAAGUGCGAAUGCUGACAUAAGUAACGAUAAAGCGGGUGAAAAGCCCGCUCGCCGGAAGACCAAGGGUUCCUGUCCAACGUUAAUCGGGGCAGGGUGAGUCGACCCCUAAGGCGAGGCCGAAAGGCGUAGUCGAUGGGAAACAGGUUAAUAUUCCUGUACUUGGUGUUACUGCGAAGGGGGGACGGAGAAGGCUAUGUUAGCCGGGCGACGGUUGUCCCGGUUUAAGCAUGUAGGCUGGUUGUCCAGGCAAAUCCGGAUAAUCAAGGCUGAGGUGUGAUGACGAGGCACUACGGUGCUGAAGUAACAAAUGCCCUGCUUCCAGGAAAAGCCUCUAAGCAUCAGGUAACAUCAAAUCGUACCCCAAACCGACACAGGUGGUCAGGUAGAGAAUACCAAGGCGCUUGAGAGAACUCGGGUGAAGGAACUAGGCAAAAUGGUGCCGUAACUUCGGGAGAAGGCACGCUGGUGUGUAGGUGAAGUCCCUGCGGAUGGAGCUGAGACCAGUCGAAGAUACCAGCUGGCUGCAACUGUUUAUUAAAAACACAGCACUGUGCAAACACGAAAGUGGACGUAUACGGUGUGACGCCUGCCCGGUGCCGGAAGGUUAAUUGAUGGGGUUAUCCGUAAGGAGAAGCUCUUGAUCGAAGCCCCGGUAAACGGCGGCCGUAACUAUAACGGUCCUAAGGUAGCGAAAUUCCUUGUCGGGUAAGUUCCGACCUGCACGAAUGGCGUAAUGAUGGCCAGGCUGUCUCCACCCGAGACUCAGUGAAAUUGAACUCGCUGUGAAGAUGCAGUGUACCCGCGGCAAGACGGAAAGACCCCGUGAACCUUUACUAUAGCUUGACACUGAACAUUGAGCCUUGAUGUGUAGGAUAGGUGGGAGGCUUUGAAGCGUGGACGCCAGUCUGCGUGGAGCCAACCUUGAAAUACCACCCUUUAAUGUUUGAUGUUCUAACGUUGGCCCCUGACCGGGGUUGCGGACAGUGUCUGGUGGGUAGUUUGACUGGGGCGGUCUCCUCCCAAAGCGUAACGGAGGAGCACGAAGGUUAGCUAAUCCUGGUCGGACAUCAGGAGGUUAGUGCAAUGGCAUAAGCUAGCUUGACUGCGAGCGUGACGGCGCGAGCAGGUGCGAAAGCAGGUCAUAGUGAUCCGGUGGUUCUGAAUGGAAGGGCCAUCGCUCAACGGAUAAAAGGUACUCCGGGGAUAACAGGCUGAUACCGCCCAAGAGUUCAUAUCGACGGCGGUGUUUGGCACCUCGAUGUCGGCUCAUCACAUCCUGGGGCUGAAGUAGGUCCCAAGGGUAUGGCUGUUCGCCAUUUAAAGUGGUACGCGAGCUGGGUUUAGAACGUCGUGAGACAGUUCGGUCCCUAUCUGCCGUGGGCGCUGGAGAAUUGAGGGGGGCUGCUCCUAGUACGAGAGGACCGGAGUGGACGCAUCACUGGUGUUCGGGUUGUCAUGCCAAUGGCACUGCCCGGUAGCUAAAUGCGGAAGAGAUAAGUGCUGAAAGCAUCUAAGCACGAAACUUGCCCCGAGAUGAGUUCUCCCUGAGACUUUAAGUCUCCUGAAGGAACGUUAAAGACGAUGACGUUGAUAGGCCGGGUGUGUAAGCGCAGCGAUGCGUUGAGCUAACCGGUACUAAUGAACCGUGAGGCUUAACCUU